rnacentral:rRNA from 1 species
AGAUUAAGUUAUUAAGGGCGCACGGUGGAUGCCUUGGCACUAGAAGCCGAUGAAGGACGUUACUAACGACGAUAUGCUUUGGGGAGCUGUAAGUAAGCUUUGAUCCAGAGAUUUCCGAAUGGGGAAACCCAGCAUGAGUUAUGUCAUGUUAUCGAUAUGUGAAUACAUAGCAUAUCAGAAGGCACACCCGGAGAACUGAAACAUCUUAGUACCCGGAGGAAGAGAAAGAAAAUUCGAUUCCCUUAGUAGCGGCGAGCGAAACGGGAAGAGCCCAAACCAACAAGCUUGCUUGUUGGGGUUGUAGGACACUCUAUACGGAGUUACAAAGGACGACAUUAGACGAAUCAUCUGGAAAGAUGAAUCAAAGAAGGUAAUAAUCCUGUAGUCGAAAAUGUUGUCUCUCUUGAGUGGAUCCUGAGUACGACGGAGCACGUGAAAUUCCGUCGGAAUCUGGGAGGACCAUCUCCUAAGGCUAAAUACUCUCUAGUGACCGAUAGUGAACCAGUACCGUGAGGGAAAGGUGAAAAGCACCCCGGAAGGGGAGUGAAAUAGAACCUGAAACCGUGUGCUUACAAGUAGUCAGAGCCCGUUAAUGGGUGAUGGCGUGCCUUUUGUAGAAUGAACCGGCGAGUUACGAUUUGAUGCAAGGUUAAGCAGUAAAUGUGGAGCCGUAGCGAAAGCGAGUCUGAAUAGGGCGUUUAGUAUUUGGUCGUAGACCCGAAACCAGGUGAUCUACCCUUGGUCAGGUUGAAGUUCAGGUAACACUGAAUGGAGGACCGAACCGACUUACGUUGAAAAGUGAGCGGAUGAACUGAGGGUAGCGGAGAAAUUCCAAUCGAACCUGGAGAUAGCUGGUUCUCUCCGAAAUAGCUUUAGGGCUAGCCUCAAGUGAUGAUUAUUGGAGGUAGAGCACUGUUUGGACGAGGGGCCCCUCUCGGGUUACCGAAUUCAGACAAACUCCGAAUGCCAAUUAAUUUAACUUGGGAGUCAGAACAUGGGUGAUAAGGUCCGUGUUCGAAAGGGAAACAGCCCAGACCACCAGCUAAGGUCCCAAAAUAUAUGUUAAGUGGAAAAGGAUGUGGCGUUGCCCAGACAACUAGGAUGUUGGCUUAGAAGCAGCCAUCAUUUAAAGAGUGCGUAAUAGCUCACUAGUCGAGUGACACUGCGCCGAAAAUGUACCGGGGCUAAACAUAUUACCGAAGCUGUGGAUUGUCCUUUGGACAAUGGUAGGAGAGCGUUCUAAGGGCGUUGAAGCAUGAUCGUAAGGACAUGUGGAGCGCUUAGAAGUGAGAAUGCCGGUGUGAGUAGCGAAAGACGGGUGAGAAUCCCGUCCACCGAUUGACUAAGGUUUCCAGAGGAAGGCUCGUCCGCUCUGGGUUAGUCGGGUCCUAAGCUGAGGCCGACAGGCGUAGGCGAUGGAUAACAGGUUGAUAUUCCUGUACCACCUAUAAUCGUUUUAAUCGAUGGGGGGACGCAGUAGGAUAGGCGAAGCGUGCGAUUGGAUUGCACGUCUAAGCAGUAAGGCUGAGUAUUAGGCAAAUCCGGUACUCGUUAAGGCUGAGCUGUGAUGGGGAGAAGACAUUGAGUCUUCGAGUCGUUGAUUUCACACUGCCGAGAAAAGCCUCUAGAUAGAAAAUAGGUGCCCGUACCGCAAACCGACACAGGUAGUCAAGAUGAGAAUUCUAAGGUGAGCGAGCGAACUCUCGUUAAGGAACUCGGCAAAAUGACCCCGUACUUCGGGAGAAGGG